CAUUGAAGGAAGCUAAAAAUAUAGCAGGUGCAUCUUUUCACAACAACAGCUUUCCAACAUAAGAUAGAGAAAAGGUGCAUGCAGGAAAGGUAGAUAGAUGGAUAAACUUGUAAAGUUUUUUCUAUAAAGAAAAGUGUGUAACAAUAAAAAAAGUCGAACGAUUUACAAGACGACAGAAAGUUCUGCGCGAAGGUAUAAUUUGAAAUGACAUUUGGAACAAGACAAAAUUAGAGCAAAAGAGAAAGUUUAAGCUCAUCCAACAAAAUUGGGUAAAACUUUAAAUGUUUCAGUGAGAAUUUUCUUAUAUGUCGCACUGCAAAGAAUUUCAAUGUAUAGAGUACAGAUCUUUCAACUUUUUUUUUGUAUUUGAAAAAGCUUAAAGCAAAAUAAAAUUUUUAAUUCUUCUUCUCGAAA